AGCAUCAUGAAGUCUGGAUGAUAGGAACUCAGCCUCAUCUCUCAUCAUGACAGUGGCAGUGUCAUGUGGGAAGUUCAAGAGAGGCCUGAAAUAGAAAUAUUGAAUGGUUUCCAGUCUAACAGCAUUUCCCCAGCCCCGUACGUCUGCACAAUGCAUCACUUGUGGGAUUACUUUACCGCCAAAAAAAUCUUAAGUGCCUGAGGUACUAAGUUUCCACUUUGGAGUCUUUUCGCAAACAGCAUUGUGGCUCAUCACCUUGGACAGCUCCUUGGAAGUUCAGACUAAAACCUGGAGUGGAUUCCACUGCCUCACUGACAUGAAGCAACCAGCCAACACUGCCUGCAGGUCCCAGGGUCUCCUUCGGGAGGAAGAGAGGGACAUAAAUUUACUUUGAUGAUGACGAUGGAACCCCUGGAAGAUUGUCCAGAAAGGAAUGUGGUUUGUGGCUGAAAAAGGUUUCCCAUCCCUGGACUAGAUGAUCUUUGAGGUCCCUUUUAACUAUGAUUGUAUGACUUAGGGCAAAAACACAAAUAUGUCAUUUGGAACCACCUUGGAUUUCCCCCCUAAUUACUGGCAAGUGGUGUGUGUGAGUGUGUAAUUUUCAUCAAGACCACAGCAAGUGAGUAGGGCAUUUUAACCCUUGCCUUGGUAUCAACAGGAGCUUUUUCCCCACUGGCUUCCAAUUAGCAACAAGGCUAAGUCCAAAGUGCUGGUUUUGGUGUGUCAAGCCUUGUACAACUUUGGAUCUGGGUACCUGAAAGACCGUCUCACCUCUUAUAUAUCCAACCAAACACUGUGCUCUGCAGACACCUAGAUUACAUGAUUCCCAGCCAGGACUGGAGGGAGGCGGGGAAGAGAAAGGAUCCAGUGGUGGCUGGUGACCGAUGGGACAGGUGGGGCAGUAGACAAGCAGGCCAACAGCAGGUGGAGCCAGAGCCAAGGACAGGCAGAGCCAAUCUAAGAAAAUAGCAUCAUGAUGUAAACUCCUCUCAAGCUGCAAGCCAUCAACUCGCUGCUGUUUAUGCUGUAAUCCCACAUUGCCACAGUUACAUCAUGCCAGCGAAGAGUGUUUUCAGUGCUUUUUUUUUGCCGCCCUGGGCUCCUACUGGGAGGAAGGGCGGGAUAUACAUAUAAUAAAUAAAUAAAUAAUAUAUGGAAUUGCUUUCACUUAGACAUGAAAUGCUAUAAUCUGUGGGGGUGGGGUUUGUUGACGUUCAUGAUCAUUUAUGCUUCAAAUUCAAUAAAAUUUACAUUUGAAAAGAACAGUUGUAUGUUCUAAUGGGGAAAAUGGUGGCUUCCUGCUUACAGCCAACAUAUGAUAUUUAACUUGCAAGAUGCAUUGCUUGCUUCCCUGAGCAAAUUUAUCCCUACCUCCCUAUCCUGUUGUAUGCAAUGAGGGAGGGAGCUGGAGCCAUGUGGCUUGAGUUCCCUUAACUGUAUCCUUGGUGUCACCUGAAGGGAGGGUAGGAGGGUGGGUGGUUUUGUUCCCACCAGAAAAUCUGCCUGCUCUUGUGGCUGAGCCCAUGAAACAGCGACAUACAGAGUAAAAAGAUCCCAGUUCUUCACCUGACGGCUUCAGACAGCAUGUGAACAAUGUUGGUACAGCAGGGUUGCACAACUUCUGGCCUGCCAGAUGCUGUUGGACUCCACUUCCCAUCAGCCCCAGCCAGCAUGGCCAAGGGUUGGAGAUGAUGUUUAUAUAUACAUAUUUGUUUUCUCUAGAUUUUGCAGACUAGAUUCAUUUUGAGCCUGUUUUGUGAUAUUUUGUGGUGUUAUUUAUUGAUACUUAUUAUUACUAUGUUCUGAAUUGUUUUUGUUAUGUUGUUCUUGCUAUGGAAGCCGCUUUAAGGUCA